rnacentral:rRNA from 1 species
GCGGGACACGUGAAAUCCCGUUUGAAUCCGCGAGGACCAUCUCGCAAGGCUAAAUACUAACCAGUGACCGAUAGUGAACCAGUACCGUGAGGGAAAGGUGAAAAGAACCCCGGGAGGGGAGUGAAAGAGAACCUGAAACCGUGUGCCUACAAGUAGUCAGAGCCCGUUAACGGGUAAUGGCGUGCCUUUUGUAGAAUGAACCGGCGAGUUGCGUUAGUCAGCAAGGUUAAGUCAGAAAAGACGGAGCCGUAGCGAAAGCGAGUCUGAAGAGGGCGAGCAGUUGGCUGACGCAGACCCGAAACCAAGUGACCUACCCAUGACCAGG